rnacentral:lncRNA from 1 species
GGAAAAUCUGAGAGCCCACAGACAGAUGAAGAUUAUUAUUAACUAGAAGAUCAUGGCUACCUAUGCAAUAUGUUGGAUUAAGUGCAAAAUGAUUAAGGACAAUGGCAUUUGAGCAUCCAAGCAAGUGUAAGACCCAUGACUAUACAGGGCACACUCCACGAGCACAGAGCCAGCUCUGGAUAAGAAAUUUCAAGAAGUCUACUGAAAGCCAAGCUUGGAGCUGGAGAGCUGGCUCACAAGUUAUGGGUUCUUGCUGCUUUUCUUGUGGAUUUGAGUUUAGUUCUCAGCAUCCACAUAAAGCAGCAAUCACCUGGCUUAGUUCCUGGGGUUCGGGUGCCCUCUCACCCUCUUCUGUGCUGCCUGACCAUCUGGAUUCACACAUGCAUAUUCACACACACAAUCGUGUAAUUGAAAGUGUUUAAUAAAGGUUUAAAAUUUUUAUUAAAAAAAAAAAAAAAA